CCAGUACGGCCAUGUCUUCGCUCUGAGCACUUAGUUUCUCAGCUGCGUUGCCAACUGUUUUUCAUCCGCGGCGGCGGCUGUUUUGACGCGGCCCGAACUUGACGUGGAGUGCAGUUCAAUUUCACUUUCAGCGCGCUCACCUGUGCUCACCCCUGAUCCGAGUAUUGAUCGUUGUCUUCGACAGUGCCAUUUCUGUAUUUCACAGAGCGCCAAACCGGCUUUCUGGAAAAGAGGAGUCUAAUAUGCUCGAUGGACGUUUGGACGUUCAAAUUCUUUCCUUUGUGUCUACUAACGCCCAAAUCACCUAUACAAAAAUUAUGUUAAAUGUACACCACAGGUUCAAUCGAAGAUAACAAGAUUCAUAUUUCAAAUGCGGUUUAAAUGCUAUAAUAUGCCAUCCUUAAUAUGCCUUAUCAUUAAAUAAAA